rnacentral:rRNA from 1 species
CAAGCGCAGCAGACGGAUACCAGGCAAAUCCGGUAUCGGAAGGCAGGGCGUGAAGGGUAAGCGAAAUCGAAAGAGAGUAGCGAAGCGCUAAGGACGGCUUCCAAGAAAAGCUUCUAGCAAAGAGGUAUCGAGCGGCCCGUACCAAAACCGACACAGGUGGGCAGGCUGAGUAGGCCAAGGUGAGCGAGAGAACUGUUGCCAAGGAACUCGGCAAAAUGGCCCCGUAAGUUCGCGAGAAGGGGCGCUCUCGAGAGAGAGCCGCAGUGAAAAGGCCCAAGCGACUGUUUAACUAAAACACAGCUCUCUGCGAAGCCGCAAGGCGAAGUAUAGGGGGUGACACCUGCCCGGUGCUGGAAGGUUAAGGGGAUCUGUGAAUCGAAAGAUGAAGCAGUGGUCCGAAGCCCCAGUGAACGGCGGCCGUAACUAUAACGGUCCUAAGGUAGCGAAAUUCCUUGUCAGGUAAGUUCUGACCCGCACGAAAGGUGUAACGAUUUGGGCGCUGUCUCGGCAGCAGACUCGGUGAAAUCUUAGUACCUGUGAAAAUGCAGGUUACCCGCAACUAGACGGAAAGACCCCAUGGAGCUUUACUGCAGCUUGGCAUUGGGUUCUGAACGAACAUGUACAGGAUAGGUGGGAGACGAAGAGAGGAGCACGCCAGUGCGUCUUGAGUCGAUGUUGGGAUACCACCCUUGAGCGUUUGGAGCCCUAACCUGGGUCCUGGAACAGGAUCGGGGAGAGUGCCAGGCGGGCAGUUUGACUGGGGCGGUC